UUCUCUAUAAAUAGCCAUUUGGUUUCUUUUACAAUCUUCAUAAAUCAAUACCUUGAUCCCAAAGAAGAAAGAGACUAAGAGAGAAUAAAUAAAAAAAGAAUAAAAAAAGAGAAGAGAAAUGUCAGGUGGAUGCUCAGAUACUGCAGGUGCAGGGAUGAAGAGCAAAUGGCCUGAAUUGGUGGGGAGAAGAGGAGAAGAAGCAAAAGAGAUCAUCGAUAGAGAGAACUCCAAAGUGACGGCUAGGAUUAUAUCUGAAAAUGCGGUUGUUUUGACCGUUGUGGUUUGCGAUAGGGUUUAUGUUCGUGUCAAUGACCACGGCAUUGUCACAAAAACCCCGGUCGUUGGGUAAUUUAAUGAUACAUGUGUGUAAGAAGAAUCAGUGUGGAACUUAAUAUGUAUGUAAUGUAUGUGUGAAAUAUAUACGAUAUACUUGUUGCGACUGUUGUAAUAAAGAAACUAGGCAUAUAUAUAAUAUAUGCCUCGAUUUGUAUGUUUCUUAUAAUGGUCAAAUAGUUAUAGUUGACUUAACUUA